GGCUCAGGAUGAACGCUAGCGGCAGGCCUAAUACAUGCAAGUCGAGGGGUAGUAAGUAGCAAUAUUUAUGAGACCGGCGCACGGGUGCGUAACACGUAUGCAACCUACCUUUUUACUGGGGCAUAGCUCAGAGAAAUCUGAAUUAAUUCCCCAUAACACUGCAGAUCGGCAUCUUUCAGCAGUUAAAGCUCCGGCGGUAAAAGAUGGGCAUGCGGAACAUUAGCUAGUUGGUGAGGUAACGGCUCACCAAGGCUACGAUGUUUAGGGGGUCUGAGAGGAUGAUCCCCCACGCUGGUACUGAGACACGGACCAGACUCCUACGGGAGGCAGCAGUAGGGAAUAUUGGUCAAUGGACGAAAGUCUGAACCAGCCAUGCCGCGUGCAGGAUGACGGUCCUCUGGAUUGUAAACUGCUUUUAUAUGGGAAGAAACCUCUGGAUGCGUCCGGAGCUGACGGUACUAUAUGAAUAAGGAUCGGCUAACUUCGUG
rnacentral:rRNA from 1 species